rnacentral:lncRNA from 1 species
GAGUGAGAGCAAAGAAGGGAAGGAACCAUGUUUGAACUGUUUUUUGUGGUUGCUGCUUUGCUGAAUCAAUGCACAUCCUCCAGUGGUCUGGCACCUAAGGAGGGAAGUAGACUUCUUUUAAAAUGAUUACAGUGCUUCUAGAUUAACAAGAAAAUUGAUGAUUGCAUGAGAAAUUUGUACUAUUUUUCUUUCUUUUUCCUCCCACAGGGCAUGAAAUUUAUCUCAUCAUAACAGUGCUGGCUCUACCAUUAGGGCAAGAAGAACAAUGGCACAUGGUAGUAACCACAAGGAAAAUAGACGGGACACGGGAGAUAUGGCGGAUGGAAACUGAUGAGAGAAAUUGACCAUGGGCUGGCAGAUGAUUGGUAAGCAGACAGAUGAAAAAAUAAAGAAGGAAAGGGGAAGUCAAUGUUUGGGGACCAUCAUCUAUUACAACUUCCAGAAAAACCUUCAGCUAGAACCAGGGCGAAGGCCGCUGCUCUAAUUGCCUGGCUUCCUGCCCACAGCUUACAACCAUUUGAUGCUGUCUGGUGACAAUAAAAUAGAUUUUCAGCCCUUUGCUCA